CACGUAGGGGGCGAGCGUUGUUCGGAAUUAUUGGGCGUAAAGGGCAUGUAGGCGGUUGCGUACGCCUGGCGUAAAAUCCUCCAGCUUAACUGGGGACCUGCGUCGGGAACCGCGCGACUUGAAUUACCGAGAGGAAACCAGAAUUCCAGGUGUAGGGGUGAAAUCUGUAGAUAUCUGGAAGAAUACCAGUGGCGAAGGCGGGUUUCUAGCGGAUAAUUGACGCUGAGGUGCGAAAGCGUGGGGAGCAAACAGG
rnacentral:rRNA from 1 species